UAUGGCUUAGUGGCCUAAGUGCCUGCUUGGCAAGCACAUGGUCCUAAGUUCAAUUCUUGGUA
rnacentral:tRNA from 1 species